UAUAUUUUAGUGUGAAAUUGCACAGAAGAUUUUGAUUCUUUUAGUUAAAAUUAAUAUUUUAAGAUAUAA
rnacentral:tRNA from 1 species